GUGAAGGUAGGUGCAUAGCUUGAGCCCAGGAGUUGAAGACCAGCCUAGGCAACAUGGUGAAACCCCAUCUCUACAAAAUAUACAAAACUUAGCCAGGCAUGAUAGUGUGUGCCUGUGGUCGCAGCUACUUGAGAGGCUGAAGUGAGCAGAUCUCUUGAGCCUGGGAGGCAGAAGUUGCAGUAAGCCAAGGUCUGGCCACUGCACUCAAGCCUGGGAGACAGAGCGAUGAGACUCUCAUCUCAAAUGCUUGUGGAACCCUGACUGAUAGAGUUGGCUUAGCCACCUGACCUAAGGAUUCUUUCCCUAAGGAGAAGAGUGGGGAGGAAAAAUAGGGAAGAUAUUGCAUCUAUUCCAAGCAAAGUGUGGCAUGGGACCCAAAGAUCGAAAAUGUUUGGAAUUAACUUAUCCUGACAGUGGUUCCUAUUCUUUUCAAUUUCUGGAUCUACUCGUCUCUUUUAUUAUGUAGCCUAUCUCAUAUUCUUCCAUUGGAUCUAAAUUUCCAUGAGAAAUAAAAAUCAAUUUUUACGUGCUAAUUACAC
rnacentral:lncRNA from 1 species